rnacentral:tRNA from 1 species
GUGUCUGUAGCUCAGUUGGAUAGAGCACCGGCCUUCUAAGCCGGGGGUCGGGGGUUCGAAUCCCUUCAGGCACA